rnacentral:rRNA from 1 species
AACGCUGGCGGCGUGCUUAACACAUGCAAGUCGAACGAGAGGAGAAGGAAGCUUGCUUCUUUCAAAUCUAGUGGCAAACGGGUGAGUAACACGUAAACAACCUGCCUUCAGGAUGGGGGACAACAGACGGAAACGACUGCUAAUACCGAAUACGUUCCUUAGGUCGCAUGACUUUAGGAAGAAAGGGUGGCCUCUACUUGUAAGCUAUCGCCUGAAGAGGGGUUUGCGUCUGAUUAGGUAGUUGGUGAGGUAACGGCCCACCAAGCCGACGAUCAGUAGCCGGUCUGAGAGGAUGAACGGCCACAUUGGAACUGAGACACGGUCCAGACUCCUACGGGAGGCAGCAGUGGGGAAUCUUCCGCAAUGGACGAAAGUCUGACGGAGCAACGCCGCGUGAACGAUGACGGCCUUCGGGUUGUAAAGUUCUGUUAUACGGGACGAAUGGCGUAGCGGUCAAUACCCGUUACGAGUGACGGUACCGUAAGAGAAAGCCACGGCUAACUACGUG